GCGUGUAGACGCAAUAACGUGUACAGGCGUUAUUUCGUCUGUACACGUUACGUGUAAAGAUAAAUGUAAUAAUACGGCCUUCCAUAUUCCGGUAACUUACAGUGACGGAGAAAUGAGCUGCAUGUCAUCUGAAAUUUUUAGAUCCCGUCAAUUUUCCACCGGAGCCGCUCGCGUCAGUUUUGUGUUCUGCGCGUGUCCGCGCGAUCCAAAUGCUCGCUCUCCGCCCAAAUUUAAAAGCUACCGUCGGUUAAUGAAGAUUUGACGAAUGAACGCGCGGCUCGAAAGUGAUAAGACUUUCAGUUUUAUGGACGGCGCCAUCUUUGAUUUUACUUUGGUCACUGUCGCUAUGGUUACUGCCCCAGGAGGUCAAAGGUCAAGUCCAAGACUGGAGGUCUGAGGUUAGAAAGAGGUGGAGCUGAUUACGACUGAGCUGGUUGGUGACAGGAAGGAUCGCCGUGGUACUUAAGUCAUCCGGUGGAAGGAAUUGUUGGCUCCCUGCUCUCUUUGUUGCGAAUAUUGCUGUUGCCACUGUGUAAUGUGUGUUGGUGAAAGGAUCGCUAAUGUAGACAUUUGUUGUCAACCAUUGAAUAGUUUAGUUGUAAUUGUAUGUUUGGUUGCUUAUGUCCUGGACCUUGUUUCAGUGGAGCUUGGUAUAGGGAGGUGGGUGCCUGUUUGUUUUCUCCUGUUUAUGUUCGCAGAGAGGUAAGAAUUUGUAUUGUAUUUGUCACUUGAUUUCUAGGUUAGUUUGUGUAUAGUAGUUUUGUUUAUUGUAAUUUACUUUGGCAAUUUG